CCGCUGUAUGAACUGUGAAGCCCAAAGCCACCGAAUUCCUCUUCUAUUUCCCUUAAUCUCUUCCUAACUUCUCUCUUGCGGCUCAGUUUAUGUGCUUCGCCGAAACAGUUAUCAAGUAGUUGUGUUUUACCUGGAUUUUCGCUUCCUCUACCCCAACUUUUGUGUAUUUCCCUGAGAAUAUGGGCCCUAUAUGUGUUUGAGAAAAAUUCUUCAAUGAAUCAGAUUUUCUAUUCGAUUUCUAUUAUUGUUUUUGGAUUUAAUCUCUUGCUUCGCUUGGGCGAAGAAUAAUAUGAUAAUUUUGACUUUGGGUAAUUUUGAUUUUGGGUAAACGGUGCACAGAGCAGUGAUAGAUUUUAAGGUUCUUGCGUGUGGUCUCUGUAAUUUGUUCUGCUUCUUCAAGUUUUCUGUUAUGUUGAUUUGGUUAUUUGGCUUUAAUAGGUUUCAGCAGAGUUCGGUCCGUAUCAUAUCGAUUUCAUCCUUUUUGGUUCUCCGAUGUGUUUGAUUUUGUUAUUAAUAAUUGGUUUAUAUAAUUUGCGUGUAAACUGUUUUGAGUGAAUUUUUGUUAUUAAGAAUUGGUUAAGUUUUUUUUGUUGUUCCGUGGGUUUAACGUUUGGAGUAGAGAAAUUAAGCUGAGGAGUACAGAUAGUGGUUUUUGCUUCGUCUGGCACUGGAAAACUGGGAUUUCAGCACUAUUGAUUUCUGAUAAAUAUGUUUCACGUUGAAAGUAGGAGAUUUGUCUCAACUAUAACUAUCACUUGAAAGUCUUUUAUUAUCGUUCGCUAGUUUCUUUUGAACUUGGAUAAAAUGAAGGCUAAGCUCCAGAUUGCAGAAGCUAAAUAUGAAUGCUGCAUCAAAAGCACAAAAAGUUCUUUUUUUAACAGGUUUAAGGGUCACAUAUAGGUUGCUUCUAAUGCUAAGAAUUCUCCUUUAUUCCUUUGGAUAUAUACAUCCGUGGGCCAGCACAUGUAGCAUAAUCACAUAUACGAUUAGUUUUGAAAAUGUUGUUGAUUAAUGAUUCAUCGACUAUGUACUAAAGGCCCCUGCAUAAAUUUACUGGGUACUUUACUAAGAAAUUCUUCUUCCAUAUUUCUCCAGUUUUACUGUAGGCAAAAACACUUUCACGUUCAUCUAGGUUCUGCAUUUACUGUAUUUUGGCUGUUGUAAGGAAUUAUCUGACUUUACUGUAUUUAGGUUCUUCAUUUAGUAUACUUACUGCUCAUUUCAGUAGAUUUAUUUCCCCUCAUGCAUACUCUAUGUUUUCUUGUUAGCUGUUUGUUUUUGGUUACUUUAGUUCGAUAGGUCCUCUUCGUGUUUUAUUUGGUUAUGAGUUCUUCCCAUAUUUUAUCUCUGUCUCAAUCCUGUUGCACGUUUGUGUUUGUGACUUUAUUCAUUGAUGUUUCUCUACUUUUCUUUAUAUCUGUAUAUUUUACCCCUCUUAUUUAAUUUCAUGUGUUCAGGGUAGUAUGUAUGCUUAUGAUGGUUCUGUAAGUAGUAGUAAUUACUUAUGGUGGAUUUUAGUAUGAAGUGCCGGAAGGCUUAAACCAAUUCUUAAUCAAGUAUUUUCUGCACAAUCCAUCCUUGACCUAUUAAUAGUUGCUAUUCAUGAUUAUACAUAUUGAGUAAUUCAUGUAACAUGGAGAAUAUGCAGAGCUAUACAACUACCAAUUAACAUUCUAGAUGUGAAGAUUUGAGUGUUAUGAACUUGAGAAAGAGAGAUAACAUUCUUCGUCCAAAAAAAUGAGAAAAAAGGCAACAUCAUAUCUACUUCUGAAGUUCCUUUUCCUAUAAAUAUUACUGCAUACUUUCAAUAAAAAAUCACUCAACGUCGUAAAGCAUUGACUAUAACAAAUCAGUCGGUUCAACAGUUUAUGCACUUCUAUCUUGAAUAAUAAGAGAUCAUGUCACAGUUGCUUCUGGAGCAGUUUUAGGUGCCUAAACACAUGCAUUACCAAUGUGCACAACCUUUAGUGAAGACCCCUUCUCUGCAACGUAGAAAAUCCUUUUAGUUGUGUCAAUGUUUUUUGGAAAAAAAACUGAAUCUUCUUAUACAGAAGUUCCUGUGAAGGAAGCUCAUGCUUCGAAAGGCUAACUAAUUCUGAUAAUGAUUAUUGCCUAAAGUUGUAAUUUCCUCUUAAUGUUGACAGGUUUCAUCCACACAGAUGAUUCGUUCAUUUGGUUAAAGCGCUCCAACAUUUGCUUUAUCUUGAAUAUAUACUAUAAAAAGUGAUGUAUACAGUUGCGGUGUACUAAUGUUGGAGUAGCCGACAACAAGGAAGCCACUUGAUAGAUAAACUUGAUCAUGCAAACAUUGGUAGUUGACUUAGUCUGUAUCAACUACAAGCUACUAUCACUACAAUGUUGAUUCCAAGAUGUAAAUUUGAAGUUGACCUCCCAAACAGGAGAGUAACAGUGGCAACAGUAGCAACAGUAGAGUCAGACAAAUUGUUGAAAGAAUGCUUUCGCUGAUAGCAGAUCAAAUACAUGAAACUACCAUCGUGAAGAAACAACUGUUACAUGUUGAGCAUAUCAGACAACACCUGUUGGACAAACUGUUCAAAAUUCAUUUACAGAAAUCACUACUCAGAACACUAGAUAAAGCAUCUGAUACAUUUGUCAUGUUAACCUACACCCAAAAAAUAGACUGUCUUCUACUUGCCAGAAUCUUCAACAUCAACGACCAUUGGCGAGGGAAUUAAGAGAAAUAUAUGAUCCAUCACUUCUGUAGAUGCAGAUAACAACCCAUCAAUAAAAGAUGCAACGCCAACCAACAAACCCAACAUACAAUCACCAAGGCCUCUGCAGAAACAAUGAAGAUACUUCAUCAGAUUUUAAAGUGCAACAAAGAUGGCUUGAAUGCUUUUUGAUAGCCUACAGUAGUUGUAAUCUUUCACAUUUUGUGUCAAAUUACUUCGCAAACUCUCUUUGUAUAUUCUUGUAAAUACAUGUAGAUCCUUUUCUGCAUGCAUCCAUGUUUUCAUUGAACCUCAAAAACGUCUGACCAUA